CUGGGAUCCUUUCCAAACUUGAGAUACUCUGAUUAACGUCGCCAUUUUUUACAGAUGAGGAAACUUGGGCUUGGCAUGGUUAAAUGGCUUUGCACAGACCCUACAUCAGUGAAGUGGCAGAGAUGAGCCGAGGACCUAUGUUUGUCUCCUAGCCACAUCAAGACUUAAGAAUCAGUACCUCUCUUCCAUGAACUAUUGAGUACUAGAGUUGUGGACCCAGCUAACACCCCAGAGGGGUAUUGGGAGGACCAAAUAACUUCUUCGGAAAUAUUAAGGCAUCAUAUAAUCAUCAGUUUGGAAGUCUGUGGGACAUAGGAUCCAGGAAAAGGAAAAGAAGGAAGAAAAAGAGGAAGAUGAUGGUGGUGGUGAUAUCUCAAGAGACACCCAUGAGGUGUCUCCAGUAAUGUCCAGUGGCCUUCUUUUACAUGUGCCAUUCUCUCCAGGUAAGUAUUUCAAGAGUCCAGCACUUUGGGCAAAUUGACUCAGAUGUCAAAUUUCCUGAACACAUCUAGGUUA
rnacentral:lncRNA from 1 species